rnacentral:lncRNA from 1 species
CAGAGCCUGGAUUCUUAUCCACCACAGAACACCAACAUGCCUGUAUUUCCUAGCAGCAGCGUGCAGGGUCAAAGACAGCCGGCCCCCCAUGUCAGUGGUCUAGGAUGGCCAGUGAAGGCACCAACAUCCCAAGUCCUGUGGUGCGCCAGAUUGACAAGCAGUUUCUGAUUUGCAGUAUAUGCCUGGAACGGUACAAGAAUCCCAAGGUUCUCCCCUGCCUGCACACUUUCUGCGAGAGGUGCCUGCAGAACUACAUUCCUGCCCACAGUUUAACCCUCUCCUGCCCAGUGUGCCGCCAGACCUCCAUCCUGCCCGAGAAAGGGGUGGCCGCGCUCCAGAACAAUUUCUUCAUCACAAACCUGAUGGACGUGCUGCAGCGAACUCCAGGCAGCAACGU